rnacentral:rRNA from 1 species
AGCAGCCGCGGUAAUUCCAGCUCCAAUAGCGUAUAUUAAAGUUGUUGCAGUUAAAAAGCUCGUAGUUGAAUUUCGGGGUUCUACCGUUGGUCGGGCAAUAGUCUGUACUGGCGUGUGGAAUUUCUACCUUCUGGGGAACCAUCAUGUUAUUAAUUUAGCGUGGUGGGAAACCAGGACCUUUACCUUGAAAAAUUAGAGUGUUCAAAGCAGGCUUACGUCUGAAUACAUUAGCAUGGAAUAAUAAAAUAGGACGGUGGUCCUGUUUUGUUGGUUUCUGAAUCACCGUAAUGAUUAAUAGGGAUAGUUGGGGGCAUUAGUAUUCAAUUGUCAGAGGUGAAAUUCUUGGAUUUAUUGAAGACUAACUUCUGCGAAAGCAUUUGCCAAGGAUGUUUUCAUUAAUCAAGAACGAAAGUUAGGGGAUCGAAGACGAUCAGAUACCGUCGUAGUCUU